rnacentral:misc_RNA from 1 species
CAACUCCAUAUCUCCAUAUCGUAAAUCAGUUUACAGAAUCUCCAAAACAACACUGCAAAGAGACGAUGAUCUCGAUACAAGACAGCGAUCGAGGCGUGUCUGUGAAUGAAGGAGAAGGAGAAGAUCAGGUCCGCUUGACGGGGUCGAAGUUGGAGACGGCGACGACGGCGCCGACGAUGGCGACGAGCACGACCCCGCCGGACACGAUGCUGAGGAGGAAGUUCUUGAGCGACGGCGUCAGGCUGCCCUGCGCGGCCUCCGCGACGUCGGGGAGGACCAUCGCCGCCGCCAUGGCCGCGGCCGUCAGCCCGGCCGUCGCCCUCUCCUUCAUCGACGCCGACGCCCUCACGGCCAUCCUCGCCGCCGCCGCCGGCCUCGCCCUCGGCACGGGCUGGAACGAGGCGCACAGGGGCUUCUUGAGCCAGGCCACGGACAGUGGCCGCGCCGCGACGGCGGACAGCGACGCGGUUGUGGCCAUGGAGGAUGAAGAAGAAGAACUCGCGGUGCUUUCUUGGCGCGAGAGCGAGACGAGGUGCAAGUGUGUGGG